GACAGAGGGUGCAAACGUUGUUCGGAAUUACUGGGCGUAAAGCGCGUGUAGGCGGCCCUGCAAGUCGGAUGUGAAAUCCCACGGCUCAACCAUGGAAGUGCAUUCGAAACUGCAGGGCUAGAGUCCUGGAGAGGAAGGUGGAAUGCUUGGUGUAGAGGUGAAAUUCGUAGAUAUCAAGCGGAACACCGGUGGCGAAGGCGGCCUUCUGGACAGUGACUGACGCUGAGACGCGAAAGCGUGGGGAGCAAACAGG
rnacentral:rRNA from 1 species